UACGUAGGUGGCAAGCGUUGUCCGGAAUUAUUGGGCGUAAAGCGCGCGCAGGCGGUCGAUCAAGUCGCGUGUGAAAGCCCCCGGCUCAACUGGGGAGGGUCACGCGAUACUGCUCGACUCGAAGGCAGGAGAGGGAAGUGGAAUUCCCGGUGUAGUGGUGAAAUGCGUAGAUAUCGGGAGGAACACCAGUGGCGAAGGCGACUUCCUGGCCUGUUCUUGACGCUGAGGCGCGAAAGCUAGGGUAGCAAACGGG
rnacentral:rRNA from 1 species